UUUCCGUAGGUGAACCUGCGGAAGGAUCAUUAAAGAAUUUAAAGAGUGCACUUCAUUGUGGCUCGACAUUUUCUACCAUUCACCCUAGUGCACUGUAAUACCUUUUUUAUUAGGCUCUACAAAGUUAUUGAAUGUAACACUUUUUAAUAAAGAAAUAAAACUUUUAACAACGGAUCUCUUGGCUCUC
rnacentral:misc_RNA from 1 species